rnacentral:misc_RNA from 1 species
UUUCCGUAGGUGAACCUGCGGAAGGAUCAUUAAAAUAUUGAAUGUUGGCUUGAAAGGUAUUUCCUGCUGCAGAUCGGGUUUUGAGCUCGAUCUCACAGGGCUAUCGAUCCCCUGUGAUUAAUGACCAUUUUAUGGUUAUGACUUGGUUUGAAAACAAGUUUUUUAAUAUAAAACUUUCGACGACGGAUCUCUUGGCUUGUUCAUCGAUGAAGAACGCAGC